CAAAGGCUUGGUCCUGACUUUCCUAUCAACUUUAACUAGAUUUAUACAUGCAAGUAUCCGCACCCCUGUGAGAAUGUCCUCACCGCCCCGUCCGGGGCUGAGGAGCCGGUAUCAGGCACGCCCUGCAGCCCAAGACGCCUUGUUCAGCCACACCCCCAAGGGACCUCAGCAGUAAUAAACAUUGAGCUAUAAGUGAAAACUUGACUCAGUCAAAGUUAUAGAGGGCCGGUAAAACUCGUGCCAGCCACCGCGGUUAUACGAGCGGCCCAAGCUGAUAGUCCUCGGCAGAAAGCGUGGUUAAGGAAUAAUAUAAACUAAAGCCGAAUGCCCUCAGAGCUGUUAUAAGCAUCCGAGAGUUCGAAGCCCCAUCACGAAAAUGGCUUUACCCCCUCCCCCCUGACCCCACGAAAGCUACGCAACAAACUGGGAUUAGAUACCCCACUAUGCCUAGCCCUAAACAUUGAUGAUACCCCCAUCCGCCCGAAAACUACAAGCAUUAGCUUAAAACCCAAAGGACUUGGCGGUGCUUUAGACCCACCUAGAGGAGCCUGUCCUAGAACCGAUACCCCCCGUUCAACCUCACCUCCCCUUGUUUCCCCCGUCUAUAUACCACCGUCGUCAGCUGACCCUGUGAAGGACUUAUAGUAAGCAAAAUUGACAAACCCCAAGACGUCAGGUCGAGGUGUAGCGCAUGAGGAGGGAAGAGAUGGGCUACAUUCUCUACCCCCAGAGAAACACGAAUGUAAUAGUACUGAAACGUACAACUGAAGGAGGAUUUAGAAGUAAGUGGAAAACAGAGCGUCCCACUGAAAUUGGCCCUGAAGCGCGCACACACCGCCCGUCACUCUCUCCCGGCCUACCCUUCUAAUUAACUAAUACCCCGCCAAUUGCAAAGGGGAGGCAAGUCGUAACAUGGUAAGCGUACCGGAAGGUGUGCUUGGAUAAAC
rnacentral:ncRNA from 1 species